ACGACCUUACUUGAACAGGAUCUGUUCUAUAGGCUUGUACCAUUGUGUCCUUGAGUUCUAAGGAGACAAGAACCAAAGUCUGGUUGAUGAAUCAUGACCGUGUGAUCAGAGCGUGAUUAAUGGUAAUGAUGACUUCUCAUCUGAGAUGUUAUCUGUGCAGUGGAGGAUCGUUCUCAGCUAGAGUCUUCUCUGGUUGGGUUGGUCACACGGUUGUCUGACAGACC